rnacentral:lncRNA from 1 species
AUGGGAGGUGCAAGACUCUUAUCCGGUUCCGUGUUGCGAGCAACCGCCUCGUGGGAACUAUACCCCAAGAAGUCACGUCUCUACCUCAUGUCUCCAUCAUCGACUUGGCUUACAACUUCUUAUCGGGUCCAAUACCUAAUUCCAUCGGAAACGCUUGGAAUUUGUCAGAGCUGUUUAUGCAGGGUAAUAAAAUCUCCGGUGUUAUACCUUCCGAAAUAUCCCAUGCCACAAAUCUUGUGAAGCUUGAUCUCAGCAACAAUCAACUGACUGGUCCAAUACCUUCAGAGAUUGGAAGACUCCGACGACUAAACUUGCUUGUUCUGCAAGGAAACCACCUUGAUUCAUCAAUCCCUGAGACUGAGUCCCUUUUGUUUACAAUUUACUAAUUUAAUGUUUUUUAACACUGACUAUAUUAUAGCAAUCGCUCAUGGAAGGCUGUGAGCGAUGUCUAUCCGAGAAGAAAAAAACUCAAGCAAAAAAAAAUAUGUCGAGACAAGAGCGAGGUUCUUGGACAGGUGAUCGUGCACUCUUUAGUAUCAGAUUCAGUGAUAUUUCAACUCUUCUUUUGUGAUAAAAACAAGAAAUUAAAGUAAAGCUUCGGAGGUAUAAAGUUGGCUACAUACACCUCUACAUUAUUCUCCAUAAUAAGUUAGUGGGUAUAAUCAUAAAGCUUCUUUAUCUAAAGGAAACAUAUCUAUUCUCCCUUUCUUCAAUUAUAUUUAUUUAAAAAUCUAUCUUUUUCGUAAAAUCCAUCUAUCUGAUUCUGAUCGUAUACAGAAAAACUUGAACCCGUCUUUCGUUUUUAUAAGGUCGCAUUAAUUUCAGUCCUUCAACUCGUAAGCUCUUUUUAUUUCCCCUCAUUUAUCCUCCCAGACCCAAAAGUUCUCUCUUUCUUGCGUCCUAAGUUUGCUCCUGCUGCUUACUUUAGAGCUUUUCCUGAAAUGCUUUUCAGACUUUUCCCAGUUUUUGUUCUUCUCAUAUUUUGCUUCAACAGCAACCAAUUAUGGGGCUUGAUGACUUCCAACCAACAAUCACAAUUCUUCAAGCUUAUGAAAAACUCUCUUUCCAGCGAUGCUUUGUCCUCUUGGAAUCUUUCUGACGCCGUGACUUCUUACUACUGUAACUUCACGGGCGUAAGGUGCGACGGUCAAGGACUUGUCACCGAUCUUGAUCUUUCCGGUUUGUCACUCUCCGGGAUUUUUCCUGAUGGGAUUUGCUCUUUCCUCCCAAACCUUCGUGUUCUUCGUCUCUCUCGCAACCAUCUGAAUAGAAGCAGCAGCUUCCUCAACGACAUCCCUGACUGUUCUCUUCUUCAGGAGCUGAACAUGAGCUCUCUCUAUCUCACAGCCACACUCCCUGAUUUCUCACCGAUGAAAUCUCUGAGAGUCAUCGACAUGUCUUGGAACCACUUCACCGGUAGCUUCCCACUCUCGAUAUUCAAUCUCACCGAUUUACAGUAUCUCAAUUUCAACGAGAACCCUGAGUUCGAUCUCUGGACUCUACCGUAUUAUGUGUCCAAACUCACGAAGCUCACACACAUGCUCCUGAUGACGUGUAUGCUCCACGGUAACAUCCCAAGAUCCAUUGGGGAUAUGACUUCCCUUGUUGAUCUCGAACUAAGUGGAAAUUUCCUCUCCGGCGAGAUUCCAAAAGAAAUCGGGAAUCUUUCCAACCUGAGGCAGCUUGAGUUGUACUAUAACUAUCACUUAACCGGCAGUAUACCUGACGAAAUCGGUAAUCUCAAAAAUCUCACGGACUUGGAUAUUUCCGUCAGCAAGUUAACCGGAAGAAUACCGGAAUCAAUAUGCAGUCUUCCAAAACUCCGAGUGCUUCAGCUUUACAACAACAGCUUAACCGGUGAGAUUCCCAAGUCGCUUGGUAACUCAAGAACCUUAAAGAUCUUGUCUCUCUACGACAACUACUUGACCGGUGAGCUCCCGCCAAAUCUCGGGUCUUCCUCGCCUAUGAUCGCUCUUGAUGUUUCGGAAAAUCGCCUCUCUGGUCCACUUCCGAGCCAAGUUUGCAAAUCCGGUAAGCUUUUGUACUUUCUUGUACUACAAAACCGGUUCUCUGGCUCGAUCCCUGCGACUUAUGGGAGGUGCAAGACUCUUAUCCGGUUCCGUGUUGCGAGCAACCGCCUCGUGGGAACUAUACCCCAAGAAGUCACGUCUCUACCUCAUGUCUCCAUCAUCGACUUGGCUUACAACUUCUUAUCGGGUCCAAUACCUAAUUCCAUCGGAAACGCUUGGAAUUUGUCAGAGCUGUUUAUGCAGGGUAAUAAAAUCUCCGGUGUUAUACCUUCCGAAAUAUCCCAUGCCACAAAUCUUGUGAAGCUUGAUCUCAG